GGUUAAGUUAGAAAGGGCGCACGGUGGAUGCCUUGACACUAGGAGUCGAUGAAGGACGGGACUAACGCCGAUAUGCUUCGGGGAGCUGUAAGUAAGCUUUGAUCCGAAGAUUUCCGAAUGGGGAAACCCACCAUACGUAAUGGUAUGGUAUCCUUAUCUGAAUACAUAGGGUAAGGAAGACAGACCCAGGGAACUGAAACAUCUAAGUACCUGGAGGAAGAGAAAGCAAAUGCGAUUUCCUGAGUAGCGGCGAGCGAAACGGAACAUAGCCCAAACCAAGAGGCUUGCCUCUUGGGGUUGUAGGACAUUCUAUACGGAGUUACAAAGGAACGAGGUAGACGAAGCGACCUGGAAAGGUCCGUCGUAGAGGGUAACAACCCCGUAGUCGAAACUUCGUUCUCUCUUGAAUGUAUCCUGAGUACGGCGGAACACGUGAAAUUCCGUCGGAAUCUGGGAGGACCAUCUCCCAAGGCUAAAUACUCCCUAGUGAUCGAUAGUGAACCAGUACCGUGAGGGAAAGGUGAAAAGCACCCCGGAAGGGGAGUGAAAGAGAUCCUGAAACCGUGUGCCUACAAAUAGUCAGAGCCCGUUAACGGGUGAUGGCGUGCCUUUUGUAGAAUGAACCGGCGAGUUACGAUCCCGUGCGAGGUUAAGCUGAAGAGGCGGAGCCGCAGCGAAAGCGAGUCUGAAUAGGGCGUUUAGUACGUGGUCGUAGACCCGAAACCAGGCGAUCUACCCAUGUCCAGGGUGAAGUUCAGGUAACACUGAAUGGAGGCCCGAACCCACGCACGUUGAAAAGUGCGGGGAUGAGGUGUGGGUAGCGGAGAAAUUCCAAUCGAACCUGGAGAUAGCUGGUUCUCCCCGAAAUAGCUUUAGGGCUAGCCUUAAGUGUAAGAGUCUUGGAGGUAGAGCACUGAUUGGACUAGGGGUCCUCAUCGGAUUACCGAAUUCAGUCAAACUCCGAAUGCCAAUGACUUAUCCUUAGGAGUCAGACUGCGAGUGAUAAGAUCCGUAGUCAAAAGGAAACAGCCCAGACCGCCAGCUAAGGUCCCAAAGUGUGUAUUAAGUGGAAAAGGAUGUGGAGUUGCUUAGACAACUAGGAUGUUGGCUUAGAAGCAGCCACCAUUUAAAGAGUGCGUAAUAGCUCACUAGUCGAGUGACUCUGCGCCGAAAAUGUACCGGGGCUAAAUACACCACCGAAGCUGCGGAUUGAUACCGAAUGGUAUCAGUGGUAGGGGAGCGUUCUAAGGACAGUGAAGUCAGACCGGAAGGACUGGUGGAGUGCUUAGAAGUGAGAAUGCCGGUAUGAGUAGCGAAAGACGGGUGAGAAUCCCGUCCACCGAAUGCCUAAGGUUUCCUGAGGAAGGCUCGUCCGCUCAGGGUUAGUCAGGACCUAAGCCGAGGCCGACAGGCGUAGGCGAUGGACAACAGGUUGAUAUUCCUGUACCACCUCUUUAUCGUUUGAGCAAUGGAGGGACGCAGAAGGAUAGAAGAAGCGUGCGAUUGGUUGUGCACGUCCAAGCAGUUAGGCUGAUAAGUAGGCAAAUCCGCUUAUCGUGAAGGCUGAGCUGUGAUGGGGAAGCUCCUUAUGGAGCGAAGUCUUUGAUUCCCCGCUGCCAAGAAAAGCUUCUAGCGAGAUAAAAGGUGCCUGUACCGCAAACCGACACAGGUAGGCGAGGAGAGAAUCCUAAGGUGUGCGAGAGAACUCUGGUUAAGGAACUCGGCAAAAUGACCCCGUAACUUCGGGAGAAGGGGUGCUUUCUUAACGGAAAGCCGCAGUGAAUAGGCCCAAGCGACUGUUUAGCAAAAACACAGCUCUCUGCGAAGCCGUAAGGCGAAGUAUAGGGGUGACACCUGCCCGGUGCUGGAAGGUUAAGGAGAGGGGUUAGCGUAAGCGAAGCUCUGAACUGAAGCCCCAGUAAACGGCGGCCGUAACUAUAACGGUCCUAAGGUAGCGAAAUUCCUUGUCGGGUAAGUUCCGACCCGCACGAAAGGUGUAACGAUUUGGGCACUGUCUCAACCAGAGACUCGGUGAAAUUAUAGUACCUGUGAAGAUGCAGGUUACCCGCGACAGGACGGAAAGACCCCGUGGAGCUUUACUGUAGCCUGAUAUUGAAUUUUGGUACAGUUUGUACAGGAUAGGCGGGAGCCUUUGAAACCGGAGCGCUAGCUUCGGUGGAGGCGCUGGUGGGAUACCGCCCUGACUGUAUUGAAAUUCUAACCUACGGGUCUUAUCGACCCGGGAGACAGUGUCAGGUGGGCAGUUUGACUGGGGCGGUCGCCUCCUAAAGUGUAACGGAGGCGCCCAAAGGUUCCCUCAGAAUGGUUGGAAAUCAUUCGUAGAGUGCAAAGGCAUAAGGGAGCUUGACUGCGAGACCUACAAGUCGAGCAGGGACGAAAGUCGGGCUUAGUGAUCCGGUGGUUCCGCAUGGAAGGGCCAUCGCUCAACGGAUAAAAGCUACCCCGGGGAUAACAGGCUUAUCUCCCCAAGAGUCCACAUCGACGGGGAGGUUUGGCACCUCGAUGUCGGCUCAUCGCAUCCUGGGGCUGUAGUCGGUCCCAAGGGUUGGGCUGUUCGCCCAUUAAAGCGGUACGCGAGCUGGGUUCAGAACGUCGUGAGACAGUUCGGUCCCUAUCCGUCGUGGGCGUAGGAAAUUUGAGAGGAGCUGUCCUUAGUACGAGAGGACCGGGAUGGACGCACCGCUGGUGUACCAGUUGUUCUGCCAAGGGCAUAGCUGGGUAGCUAUGUGCGGAAGGGAUAAGUGCUGAAAGCAUCUAAGCAUGAAGCCCCCCUCAAGAUGAGAUUUCCCAUAGCGUAAGCUAGUAAGAUCCCUGAAAGAUGAUCAGGUUGAUAGGUUCGAGGUGGAAGCAUGGUGACAUGUGGAGCUGACGAAUACUAAUAGAUCGAGGACUUAACCAU
rnacentral:rRNA from 1 species